UCACAUCCUUGCCGAAUCGCCGGUUCGCUUAUGAUCACCGAAGUUAAGCAACGUUGGACAUGGUCAGUACCAAGAUGGGUGACCGCUUGGGAAGACCAUGUGCUGAAAG